rnacentral:rRNA from 1 species
UACGUAGGGUGCGAGCGUUGUCCGGAAUUAUUGGGCGUAAAGGGCUCGUAGGCGGUCUGUUGCGUCGGGCGUGAAAACUCAGGGCUUAACCCUGAGCCUGCUUCCGAUACGGGCAGACUAGAGGUAUGCAGGGGAGAACGGAAUUCCUGGUGUAGCGGUGAAAUGCGCAGAUAUCAGGAGGAACACCGGUGGCGAAGGCGGUUCUCUGGGCAUUACCUGACGCUGAGGAGCGAAAGCGUGGGGAGCGAACAGG